rnacentral:tRNA from 1 species
CAGUAGCUCAACUGGACAGAGCAUCGGCCUUCUAAGCCGACGGUUGUGGGUUCGAGCCCCGCCUGAG